rnacentral:rRNA from 1 species
GGACCCGCACAAGCGGUGGAUGAUGUGGAUUAAUUCGAUGCAACGCGAAAAAAGCCUUACCUACCCUUGACAUGUCAGGAAUUUUUGCAGAGAUGCGAAAGUGCUCGAAAGAGAACCUGAACACAGGUGCUGCAUGGCUGUCGUCAGCUCGUGUCGUGAGAUGUUGGGUUAAGUCCCGCAACGAGCGCAACCCUUGUCAUUAGUUGCUACGCAAGGGCACUCUAAUGAGACUGCCGGUGACAAACCGGAGGAAGGUGGGGGACCGGACGUCAAGUCCUCAUGGCCCUUAUGGGUAGGGGCUUCACACGUCAUACAAUGGUUGGUACAGAGGGUCGCGAACCCGCGAGGGG